rnacentral:rRNA from 1 species
AUGGCACGUCCACCAACAAACCGGGAAAACAUAAUCUUAUGGCACACAAUGAGGCAACGAAGAGUGAAAAUACUCAUACUUUUAUAUUUGUUGUUGCAAAUCUUCAUGAUGUUACUUAGGAGGAGUCGAUAUAGGAUGCGUCGAAUUAGGCAACCUUCUUGGUAUGACCCAAUUACUCGAGCACAAACCCUGAACAACAAGAUACGAGUAAGCGAUACGGAAUGCAUUUUCCAACUACGGAUGGAUAGGCGUUGUUUCAGAGUGUUAUGUUCUUUGGUAAGAAAAGUAGGUGGGUUGAAGGAUACUAGGCAUAUGAGCGUGGAAGAAACGGUUGCCAUGUUUCUUCACAUACUUGCACAUGAUGAGAAAAACCGAGCAAUCCAUCAUGAUUUCCAGCGUUCACCUGAAGUGGUAAGUCGGAAAUUCCAUGAAGUACUAGGCGCAGUUUUAAAACUCUGGAAAGUCUUGCUUAAGAAGCCUUGA